UUCAUAGUCAUCUAGUGCAUAUA
rnacentral:siRNA from 1 species